UGCAGUUUUACCUACUGCUUGCUGGGUAGCAACCAUCUUGUUGGGAUCACCAGGUGCCAACAGAUCAUCCCAUUCAAGUGUGUUAAUCUCGAGUAGCCUCUGUUCAUGAUUUUGGACGGUCAUAUCCCUGUUAGGUUCUAAAUGUGCAUGUCGGCUAGCGGAAUAUUGCUGAUCAACAGCUGAAUCAAGUUCUCCUGAUAAAACCCAAGAAGCAGACAGAUCAGCAGGAUCAGACAAUGCCGA
rnacentral:misc_RNA from 1 species